AGCGAACGCUGGCGGCAGGCUUAACACAUGCAAGUCGAGCGGGCGUAGCAAUACGUCCGCGGCAGACGGGUGAGUAACGCGUGGGAACGUACCUUUUGGUUCGGAACAACACAGGGAAACUUGUGCUAAUACCGGAUAAGCCCUUACGGGGAAAGAUUUAUCGCCGAAAGAUCGGCCCGCGUCUGAUUAGCUAGUUGGUGAGGUAACGGCUCACCAAGGCGACGAUCAGUAGCUGGUCUGAGAGGAUGAUCAGCCACAUUGGGACUGAGACACGGCCCAAACUCCUACGGGAGGCAGCAGUGGGGAAUAUUGGACAAUGGGGGCAACCCUGAUCCAGCCAUGCUGCGUGAGUGAUGAAGGCCCUAGGGUUGUAAAGCUCUUUUGUGCGGGAAGAUAAUGACGGUACCGCAAGAAUAAGCCCCGGCUAACUUCGUG
rnacentral:rRNA from 1 species